rnacentral:rRNA from 1 species
UACGGAGGGUGCAAGCGUUAUCCGGAUUCACUGGGUUUAAAGGGUGCGUAGGCGGGCAGGUAAGUCAGUGGUGAAAUCUCCGGGCUUAACCCGGAAACUGCCGUUGAUGCUAUCUGUCUUGAAUAUCGUGGAGGUAAGCGGAAUAUGUCAUGUAGCGGUGAAAUGCUUAGAUAUGACAUAGAACACCCAUUGCGAAGGCAGCUUACUACACGAUCAUUGACGCUGAGGCACGAAAGCAUGGGGAGCAAACAGG